AAAUAAACUUAUUCUGGAAAAUGAAAGUAUCGUAGAUAAAAGAAUCUCGGAAACACUUUUCAUUAAGAGGAGCAGGGGAGAACCUUAGAAAAAGGUCUGAGCCACACUUGUUGCUUGUUGAUAACUAACUUUACUACCAACACUUGGCAACUAAACAAAGCAUAGGAAACGUAAUCACAGAUCUGGCGUAUAAUUUGAGAAUUUCGUGUCGGUGUGAGAUACCUUAAAUGUUUUAUCGAAGAGCUUUUAGAUGGGGCAUUGGUACAGCUAUUUUAAGUGUGUCUUUAGCAUCUUUAUAUAAAAACAAAUGGGACGUAUCAACAAUAGGAUUUUUAAGAUUUGGUCGAGCUGCUGUUACUGUUACAAAAAUAGCUGUGGACUAUAAAUGGUCUUUAAAAGGUUUAGAUGUAAACAGUCAGCAGUAUGAGCAGUUGAAGUCUGAGGUUCAUUUUCGUUCUGCCCAAAAACUUCUUGAUUUAUGCUGCAAAAAUGGAGGAGCAUUUAUAAAAGUUGGUCAGCACAUUGGAGCAUUAAAUUACUUAUUGCCAUAUGAAUAUGUAUCAACCCUCAAAGUAUUACACAAUAAAGCUCCAAAAGCGAGCAUCAAAGAUGUUCUUCAUGUAGUUCAAGAAGAUUUAGGAGAUGAGGCUUUAAAAAUAUUCAAAACUUUUGAACCAGAGCCACUUGGGGCAGCUUCAUUAGCACAAGUCCAUUUAGCAACUUUACAGGAUGAUACAAAAGUUGCAGUUAAAGUACAACAUAAAAAUGUUCAAGCACAUGCAAAAGUUGACAUGGCAACAAUGGAACUCCUUGUCAAUAUUGUAGCCUGGCUGUUUCCUGAAUUCACGUUUAUGUGGCUUGCUGAAGAAACAAAAAGAAACUUGCCAUUAGAAUUGGAUUUUAUUCAUGAGGGUCACAAUGCAGAGAGAGUUGGUAAAAUGUUUUCAUCUCUUACUUGGCUCAAGGUACCUCGCAUUUAUUGGGAUCUAUCCACAUCACGUGUACUUACAAUGGAAUAUUGUAGUGGUGGCCAGGUGGAUGAUAAUGAUUACAUUAGAAGGAAUAAUAUAUCUGCAGCAGAAGUAUCCAAGAAACUUGGAGAAUUAUACAGCCAGAUGAUUUUUGUGCAAGGCUAUGUGCAUUGUGAUCCUCAUCCUGGUAAUAUUCUUGUGCAAAAAGAUGAAGCUUCUAAUGAAGUGAAAGUAGUUCUGCUAGAUCAUGGGCUCUAUACAAAUUUGACAGAUCAAUUCAGGAUAGAUUACUGUAAUAUGUGGUUAGCUUUGAUGAAAGCUGAUGUGAAAGGAGUUGAACACUAUGGGCAUAAACUUGGUGUUGGAGAAUUAUAUGCUCUUCUUGCUUGUAUGAUUACAGCUCGUUCAUGGACAGCUGUAACUAAGGGGAUUGAAAAACAUAAACCUACAACUGAAGAGAAAAAAAAGAAAUUAGGGAUAAUGCAGCGAAUUAUCUCCCAGAGAUUACCACAGUUUUAAGUAAAGUGCCUCGAGAAAUGCUACUUAUUUUCAAAACUAAUGACCUUCUAAGAGGUAUAGAAGGUUCUUUGGGUGUUAAGGGUGCUGCUGGAUCGUUUAUUGCAAUGUCAAAGUGUUGUAUUAAAGCAGUAUAUGAAGAACAAAUGAAGUCUUGUAAAUCUUUUUUGAGUUCAUUAAAAAUUACUUUUGCAAGAAGUCUAGCUUUUAGU
rnacentral:misc_RNA from 1 species